CGGGAGGCAGCAGUGGGGAAUUUUGGACAAUGGACGCAAGUCUGAUCCAGCCAUGCCGCGUGCGGGAAGAAGGCCUUCGGGUUGUAAACCGCUUUUGUCAGGGAAGAAAAGGUUCUGGAUAAUACCUGGGACUCAUGACGGUACCUGAAGAAUAAGCACCGGCUAACUACGUGCCAGCAGCCGCGGUAAUACGUAGGGUGCAAGCGUUAAUCGGAAUUACUGGGCGUAAAGCGUGCGCAGGCGGUUUUGUAAGUCUGUC
rnacentral:rRNA from 15 species